rnacentral:rRNA from 1 species
UACGGAAGGCAGCAGUGGGGAAUCUUGCGCAAUGGGCGAAAGCCUGACGCAGCCAUGCCGCGUGAAUGAUGAAGGUCUUAGGAUUGUAAAAAUUCUUUCACCGGGGACGAUAAUGACGGUACCCGGAGAAGAAGCCCCGGCUAACUUCGUGCCAGCAGCCGCGGUAAUACGAAGGGGCUAGCGUUGCUCGGAAUUACUGGGCGUAAAGGGCGCGUAGGCGGAUCGUUAAGUCAGAGGUGAAAUCCCAGGGCUCAACCCUGGAACUGCCUUUUGAUACUGGCGAUCUUGAGUAUGAGAGAGGUAUGUGGAACUCCGAGUGUAGAGGUGAAAUUCGUAGAUAUUCGGAAGAACACCAGUGGCGAAGGCGACAUACUGGGCUCAUUACUGACGCUGAGGCGCGAAAGCGUGGGGAGCAAACAGGGAUUAGAUACC